rnacentral:rRNA from 1 species
AUGCUUCUGCCCUUUUAUCUCGCACGCUGUACAAUCUCCGCCAGGUUGUCGGUGGAGGUUGGGUUCAGAUUGUCUUUGAGACAGAAACACAACAUGCAGCGCUCUAACCUUGGCAGCAAAAAUGAUCUGAAUUUCAUUAACAAGCACAAGGCGGCGGCGCUGCUUCUUCCCCCAAAACCAAAUUUGGAGGAGGGGAAGGAAGAGGCCGGGAUGGCGUCGAAGAAGAAGAAGCAGAAGCGCAAGGAGUGCAAGCACGUGAAGAUUAUGCUGUCAUCUCCUUGUGCCUCCGCGGCCAAAACCCCAAUCUUGGAGCAGGAGGAGAAGGUGGCAAGGAAACGGAAAAGGAGGAUGGAGCAGGAGCCAUCCGGCAACUUGCUGUUGCCACUUCAGCCUGGCCAUGCCUGUAACUCAUUCCUUCAGUCCCCCGCACCCGAGAUCCUAACGUUGGAAGAGGCGGCGGCGAUGAUUAGGAAGAAGAAUAUGCAUAAAGAGCAGAAGGUGGACACGCUGUCUUUUACCCAGAAUCCUACCUUAGAGGAGAAGCAGGGGCAGAAGAAGGAGCGCAAGCGCAUGGAGCAGAUAUUAUUAUCUCCUUCUACACCUGUUCCUGCUGGAACCACAAUUCAGGAGCAGGAGGUGAAGGUGAGAAAGAAACAGAAGAGGAGGAUGGAGCAGCAGCCAUCCGACAACUCGCAGUUGCCACUACACCCUGGCCAUUCCUGUAACCCAUUCCUUCAGUCCCCCGCGCCUGAAAUCCUAACGUUGGUAGAGGCGGCGGCGAUGAUGAGGAAGAGGAAUAUGCGUAAAGAGCAGAAGGUGGAUCCUACUUUAGAGGAGGAGCGGGGGGAGAAGAAGGAGUGCAACCACGUGGAGCAGACAUUGUUAUCUCCUUCCACAUCUGCUGCUGCUGAAACCCCAAUUCAAGGGCAGGAGAUGAAGGUGAUCAAGAAACAGAAGCAGAGGAGGGGCCAGGAAUCAUCCGGCAAAUCACAGGAGCCAUCCGGCAAUUUGCCGUUGCCACUUCACCCCAGCCAUGCCUGUAACCCUCCACUAGCUGCCCCACUCCUUCAAUCCCCCGCUCCUGAAAUCCUAACAUUGGAAGAGGCUGCGGCGAUGAUGAGGAGAAGGAAGAUGCCUAAAGAGCAGAAGGUGGACGCGCUGCAUUUUGCCCCAAAUCCUACCUUAAAAGAGCAUGGGGAGGAGGCCAUGAUAGCGACGACGAAGAAGAAAAAGGGCAAGUGCAUACAGCAGAUAUUGUCAUCUCCUUCAACAUCUAUUGCUGCUGAAACUCCAAUUCAGGAGCAGGAGGAGAAGGUGACCAAGAAACAAAAGCAGAGGAUGGGGCUGGAAGCAUCCAGCAACAUGCCGUUGCCACUUCACACCGGCGAUGUCUCCGAGCCCCUACUCGCUGCCCCAUUCCUUCAAGCCGCCGCUCCCGAAAUCCUAACGUUGAAAGAGGCGGCAGUGAUGAUGAGAAAAAGGAAGAUGCAUAAAGAGGAGAAGGUGGACGCACUGCCUUUUGCCCAAAAUCCUACCUUAGAGGAGGAGCAGCUGGAGGAGGCCAUGAUGGUGACGAAAAAGAAAAAUCACAAGCGCGUGGAGCAGAUAUUGUCACCUCCUUCUUCAUCUGUUACUGCAGAAACUCCGAUUCAGGAGCAGGAGGUGAAGAAACAGAAGCAGAGGAGAAGGCAGGAACCAUCCGGCAAGUCAGACCUGCCAUCUGGCAACUCGCCAUUGCCACUUCACCCUGGCCAUGCCUUUAAUCCCCUAUUCGCUGCGCCAUUCCUUCAGUCACCUGCUCCCGAAAUUCUUACGUUGGGGGAGGCGGCGGUGGCGGUGACGAUGAGUAAGAGGAAGAUGCGUAAGGAGAAGGUGGCUGCGCUGUCUUUUGCCCAAAAUCCUACCUUGGAGGAAGAGCAGCGGGAGGAGGCCAUGACUGCGACGACUAAAAAGAAGGAGCGCAAGCGUGUGGAGCAGAUAUUGUCAUCUGCUACAUCCGUUGCUGCCGAAACCCCAAUUCAGGAGCAGGAGGUGAAGGUGACCAAGAAACAGAAGCAGAGGAGGCAGGAACCGUCUGGCAAGUCACCAUUGCCACUUGACCCUGGCCAGAGUCGCUGUGUUCAAUCACAAGGAGCCAAAGCUCCACCAGAACAAGAGGGAGAGAAUGAUGGCUGCAAGGGGAUUAAAAAGAGCAACGGGAGGAAAACCCGUGUACGUGUCCUCAGUAAGCAUGAGCUCAUCCAGGAGGCAAGGAAACAGCCUCAGCCGCUGCCCGAAGGCUUUGUGCCGUUCAGCGAUUUUGUUGCCAGUUGCACGGAGCAGAAUCCUGACCAUUCAUCGCCUUACAGUGCAUUUUUCGACCAGUUCCGCUAUAACCCCGUCUGCAAAGAUCGCAAAUCCCCACUUCCCAGAACCCCUGAUCGUCUGGCCAGGUUGCCACCUCGGGGUCACUCAUCAUUUGGGUCAUCUCAGCUCGCUGCAAAUGAAGCUUCCAGAGCUUCUAGGCCGGACACCAUUCUAGCGUCCAAGACAAAGCAGCAAGAUUCAGGUUCAGGAUCACAAGAGAAAGUUAGUGUAGAAGUAAAGGAAAACCCGGAAAACAAGACGAGGGAGAAGAAGCAAAGGAAACUAUCUGGCAAGUCACUAUUGCCAUUUGACUCCAGCCGGACUUGCUGUGUUCAGCUACAAGGAACCAAAGCUCUACCAGAACAGGACCAAGAAACUGAUGCCCCAAAGGUUAACAAUAUUGAAAAAAGGAACAGCAAGAAGGCCCAUGCCUGUGCUCCCAGCAAAUGCGAACUCUUCAAGGAGAUGACAAAGGAGCAGACGCUGACUGAAGGCUUUUUGGCACCCAAAGAUUUGGUUCCCAAUUGCACUGAGCAGAGUCCCAAUUAUUCAUCGCCUUCUGGUGCAUCCUUUCAUCCGUUCUGCUAUAGAUCUGCCCGGCAAGAUCUCAAUCCCCAACCUUCUAGAAGCACUGAUCAUCUAUCCAAGCUGCCACCUCGGCAUUACCCAUCAUUUGAGUUGCCUGAGCUCACUAUGAGUGAAACCUCCAAGGCUUUCAAGGCUAACAAUUCUGUGGAGUCCAAGUCAAAGAAGAAAGAUUCAGGUUCAGGCUCCACCUCAGGCUCACAGAAGAAACAAAAUGUAAAAGAAAAGACAACCCCUGAGAAGAAGACGAGGAUCAGGAAACCACGACCAGUGUUUACCGCUGCGGAGAAGCGCUCAGACAAAUACCGACGCGUUCCCUUGGACCAGCUGGUAUCACCGCCACGCUCUCCUCAUAAUCUCUUGCAGGAGAAGUAUGCCUCUGACCCGUGGAAGGUUAUGCUCAUCUGCAUGUUCCUCAACUUAACACAGGGUAUACAGGUCAAGAGGAUAUUGGAUGGCUUCUUUGAACGCUAUCCUGACCCUUGGUCUGCAAUUAAUGCUGAUCCUGACAAGAUGGCGGAGUAUCUAGCGCCUCUAGGGUUGCAGCAUGUUAGGACACGCAAUAUCAAGAAAUUGUCCAAGCAGUAUGUUGGAAAUGAAUGGACCCAUAUUACGCAGCUUUGUGGCGUCGGCAAGUACGCAGCUGAUGCUUAUGCAAUAUUUUGUGCGGGUAGGGCGAGGGAGGUGGUACCUGAUGAUCACAAGUUAGUUGAUUACUGGAACUAUGUCUGCUUUGAGUUGCCCAUGACGCAGAUGGAUUAG